ACUCCUACGGGAGGCAGCAGUGGGGAAUAUUGCACAAUGGGGGAAACCCUGAUGCAGCCAUGCCGCGUGUGUGAAGAAGGCCUUCGGGUUGUAAAGCACUUUCAGUAGGGAGGAAGGUAGUGUAGUUAACACCUGCAUAUUGAUCGUUAUCCUACAGAAGAAGCACCGGCUAACUCCGUGCCAGCAGCCGCGGUAAUACGGAGGGUGCGAGCGUUAAUCGGAAUUACUGGGCGUAAAGCGCAUGCAGGCGGCCUGUUAAGUCAGAUGUGAAAGCCCGGGGCUUAACCUCGGAAUUGCAUUUGAAACUGGCAGGCUAGAGUCUUGUAGAGGGGGGUAGAA
rnacentral:rRNA from 1 species